GCAUAACGCGAAGAACCUUACCCACCUUUGACAUGUACGGAAUCCUUUAGAGAUAGAGGAGUGCUCGAAAGAGAGCCGUAACACAGGUGCUGCAUGGCUGUCGUCAGCUCGUGUCGUGAGAUGUUGGGUUAAGUCCCGCAACGAGCGCAACCCUUGCCAUUAGUUGCUACAUUUAGUUGAGCACUCUAAUGGGACUGUCGGUGACAAACCGGAGGAAGGUGGGGAUGACGUCAAGUCCUCAUGGCCCUUAUAGGUGGGGCUACACACGUCAUACAAUGGCUGGUACAAAGGGUUGCCAACCCGCGAGGGGGAGCUAAUCCCAUAAAGCCAGUCGUAGUCCGGAUCGCAAUCUGCAACUCGACUGCGUGAAGUCGGAAUCGCUAGUAAUCGUGGAUCAGAAUGUCACGGUGAAUACGUUCCCGGGUCUUGUACACACCG
rnacentral:rRNA from 1 species